rnacentral:rRNA from 1 species
CCCCGCCUACGGGACGCAGCAGUGGGGGAUAUUGCACAAUGGGGAAACCCUGAUGCAGCGACGCCGCGUGAGCGAUGAAGUAUGUCGGUAUGUAAAGCUCUAUCAGCAGGGAAGAAAAAGACGGUACCUGACUAAGAAGCCCCGGCUAACUACGUGCCAGCAGCCGCGGUAAUACGUAGGGGGCAAGCGUUAUCCGGAUUUACUGGGUGUAAAGGGAGCGUAGACGGCAGUGCAAGUCUGAAGUGAAAGGCAAGGGCUCAACCCUUGGACUGCUUUGGAAACUGUGCUGCUGGAGUGUCGGAGAG